AGAGUUUGAUCCUGGCUCAGGAUGAACGCUAGCUACAGGCUUAACACAUGCAAGUCGAGGGGCAGCAUCAUCAAAGCUUGCUUUGAUGGAUGGCGACCGGCGCACGGGUGAGUAACACGUAUCCAACCUGCCGACAACACUGGGAUAGCCUUUCGAAAGAAAGAUUAAUACCGGAUGGCAUAGUUUUCCCGCAUGGGAUAAUUAUUAAAGAAUUUCGGUUGUCGAUGGGGAUGCGUUCCAUUAGGCAGUUGGCGGGGUAACGGCCCACCAAACCAACGAUGGAUAGGGGUUCUGAGAGGAAGGUCCCCCACAUUGGAACUGAGACACGGUCCAAACUCCUACGGGAGGCAGCAGUGAGGAAUAUUGGUCAAUGGACGAGAGUCUGAACCAGCCAAGUAGCGUGAAGGAUGACUGCCCUAUGGGUUGUAAACUUCUUUUAUACGGGAAUAAAGUUAGCCACGUGUGGCUUUUUGUAUGUACCGUAUGAAUAAGGAUCGGCUAACUCCGUGCCAGCAGCCGCGGUAAUACGGAGGAUCCGAGCGUUAUCCGGAUUUAUUGGGUUUAAAGGGAGCGUAGGCGGGUUGUUAAGUCAGUUGUGAAAGUUUGCGGCUCAACCGUAAAAUUGCAGUUGAUACUGGCGACCUUGAGUGCAACAGAGGUAGGCGGAAUUCGUGGUGUAGCGGUGAAAUGCUUAGAUAUCACGAAGAACUCCGAUUGCGAAGGCAGCUUACUGGAUUGUAACUGACGCUGAUGCUCGAAAGUGUGGGUAUCAAACAGGAUUAGAUACCCUGGUAGUCCACACAGUAAACGAUGAAUACUCGCUGUUUGCGAUAUACAGUAAGCGGCCAAGCGAAAGCAUUAAGUAUUCCACCUGGGGAGUACGCCGGCAACGGUGAAACUCAAAGGAAUUGACGGGGGCCCGCACAAGUGGAGGAACAUGUGGUUUAAUUCGAUGAUACGCGAGGAACCUUACCCGGGCUUAAAUUGCAACAGAAUAUAUUGGAAACAGUAUAGCCGUAAGGCUGUUGUGAAGGUGCUGCAUGGUUGUCGUCAGCUCGUGCCGUGAGGUGUCGGCUUAAGUGCCAUAACGAGCGCAACCCUUAUCUUUAGUUACUAACAGGUCAUGCUGAGGACUCUAGAGAGACUGCCGUCGUAAGAUGUGAGGAAGGUGGGGAUGACGUCAAAUCAGCACGGCCCUUACGUCCGGGGCUACACACGUGUUACAAUGGGGGGUACAGAAGGCGGCUACCUGGUGACAGGAUGCUAAUCCCAAAAGCCGGUCGUAGUUCGGAUUGGAGUCUGUAACCCGACUCCAUGAAGUUGGAUUCGCUAGUAAUCGCGCAUCAGCCAUGGCGCGGUGAAUACGUUCCCGGGCCUUGCACACACCGCCCGUCA
rnacentral:rRNA from 1 species